rnacentral:rRNA from 1 species
UACGGGAGGCAGCAGGGGGGAAUAUUGCACAAUGGGCGAAAGCCUGAUGCAGCUAUGCCGCGUGUAUGAAGAAGGCCUUAGGGUUGUAAAGUACUUUCAUCGGGGAGGAAAAAACAAAACUAAUAAUUUUAUUUCUUGACGUUACCCGAAAAAGAAGCACCGGCUAACUCCGUGCCAGCAGCCGCGGUAAUACGGAGGGUGCUAGCGUUAAUCAGAAUUACUGGGCGUAAAGAGCACGUAGGUGGUUUUUUUAAAGUCAGAUGUGAAAUCCCUGGGCUUAACCUGGAACUGCAUUUUGAAACUGAAAUACUAGAGUAUCGUAGAGGGAGGUAGAAUUCUAGGUGUAGCGGUGAAAUGCGUAGAUAUCUGGAGGAAUACCUGUGGCGAAAGCGGCCUCCUAAACGAAUACUGACACUGAGGGUGCGAAAGCGUGGGGAGCGAAACAGGGAUUUAGAUA